ACCAGACCUAAGGAAGAUACCAAUCUGUUUUAACUCAAGCAAUGUGUUGUGUUUUUUGCAAUUUCUGUGACUAAAAUCCUUUCUGAGGAGCUCUAAAAGCUGAGUGGCCUUGGACGUUAGACUGCCGCUUAGUAACAGGGUGCUGAGAGAAGGAGGACAAACACCACUAGUAAAAGAACUAUGUGAAGAUUUAAGACAUGGUCCAUCUUUCAGUACUCCCACCAAUGGCAGCAGAGCAAUGAAAACAGCGACACCGACGCAGAGCAGCAGCGAGAGCUGAGGGCCAUGAUGAGGGGAAGGUUCAGGGGAAGGUUCAGGGGUAAAAUCAGGCUCUUCAUCAGCUUCUGGAGAGAUAAUGGGAUGUGCUGCAUAUGAGACAUGAUCCUAAUGUUGUGAAAUACAUGCUUGUUGAUAUCAAUAUAAUACUUAAAACAUAUUAUAUAC